rnacentral:snRNA from 1 species
AAAGAGUGAAAGAACUUAAAAA